GUAGGUGAACCUGCGGAAGGAUCAUUAUUGAAUAAACUUGGUUGGGUUGUUGCUGGCUCUUCGGAGCAUGUGCACGCUCACUCCAUUUUUAACCACCUGUGCACCUUGUGUAGAUCUGAACAACUCUCGGGGAAACUCGGUCAGAGGAUUGCUGUGUGUAAAAGCCAGCUUUUCUUGGGUUCAGAUCUAUGUCUCUAUAUACACCAUAAGAAUGUAUUGGAAUGUAAUUUUAGGCGUUACAGCCUUUAAAAUCAAAUACAACUUUCAACAACGGAUCUCUUGGCUCUC
rnacentral:misc_RNA from 1 species